rnacentral:rRNA from 1 species
AUACGUAGGUGGCGAGCGUUAUCCGGAUUUACUGGGUGUAAAGGGCGCGUAGGCGGGGGCGCAAGUCAGGUGUGAAAUCUAUGGGCUUAACCCAUAAACUGCACUUGAAACUGCAUCUCUUGAGUGCUGGAGAGGUAGACGGAAUUCCUUGUGUAGCGGUGAAAUGCGUAGAUAUAAGGAAGAACACCAGUGGCGAAGGCGGUCUACUGGACAGUAACUGACGCUGAGGCGCGAAAGCGUGGGGAGCAAACAGGAUUAGAUACCCUGGUAGUCCACGCUGUAAACGAUGAAUACUAGGUGUGGGGGGACUGACCCCCUCCGUGCCGCAGUAAACACAAUAAGUAUUCCACCUGGGGAGUACGGCCGCAAGGUUGAAACUCAAAUGAAUUGACGGGG